rnacentral:rRNA from 1 species
ACUCCUACGGGAGGCAGCAGUGGGGAAUAUUGCACAAUGGGCGCAAGCCUGAUGCAGCCAUGCCGCGUGUGUGAAGAAGGCCUUCGGGUUGUAAAGCAUUUUCAGUCGUGAGGAAGGUGGUGUAGUUAAUAGCUGCAUUAUUUGACGUUAGCGACAGAAGAAGCACCGGCUAACUCCGUGCCAGCAGCCGCGGUAAUACGGAGGGUGCGAGCGUUAAUCGGAAUUACUGGGCGUAAAGCGCAUGCAGGUGGUUUGUUAAGUCAGAUGUGAAAGCCCGGGGCUCAACCUCGGAAUUGCAUUUGAAACUGGCAGACUAGAGUACUGUAGAGGGGGUAGAAUUCCAGGUGUAGCGGUGAAAUGCGUAGAGAUCUGGAGGAAUACCGGUGGCGAAGGCGGCCCCCUGGACAAAGACUGACGCUCAGGCACGAAAGCGUGGGGAGCAAACAGGAUUAGAUACCCUGGUAGACUGUCAU